CUCCCUUUAGACAUUUCAAAAAAUCGAUUUUUUUUUUACUGUCUUAAUCGAUAGGUAUAUGCUUCGAGAAUAUAAUUCCGAAGUUUCAAAAUUCUAUUUUCAAAAUUGUGGAAGUUAUGCGACUUUAAAGCGGCGCGCUCGACCGGUGCGUGAGCCGGUCGAACGCGUCGAGCGAUAAGGACCCGCGCCGCGCUCUUGCCAUCGACAAUCUAUGAUAGAUUACCGGAUUCUUUCGCUUUCCCCGAAUGUAUGGUGAUAAGGAGAUGAUUUUCGAUUUUUUUCCGAAUAUCCGUCCCCCGAUAUUCGAAAAAAAAUCAGUCUAGCCUCGAUUCUUGGUGAGAUACGAUGUUUCCCAAAGGCAAAAGAGAUUCCACAGCGCGUGCUGCAUACGCGAAAAAACGUAAAUUUCGCGGUAAUCGGUAUACGAAGAAUGUUGAAAACGAUCCGAAUGCAAGUCGUGCGAAAAAGAAACUUGCAAGUACGAGUGCAAGGAAAAUCGUUGACAUUGCCGCGUACAUCGCUGCCGGGAUUUUCAAUGAAGGCUAUGCAUCAAUUUUGAUGCUGAUGGAUUCGUUGCAGUUGACCAUUGGGCAGCAGUGCAAGAUGUUCGCAGAUCAGAUGGACAUCUCCCGAUUAGCGCGCGCAGAACGUCGGCACAGCGAAAGCACGAAAGAGGCCCGAAGUGCUCGUAGGGAGGCAAAUCUCCUUGAAAAUGAGUUUUUUGAGGAAGAAGAAGGUUCGCUUUACGAACCUGGUGGAGCUGAUUGACGUGUUACUGCCACCAUCGUGUCCACUAUUGAAUAAGAAUUGCGGUCAGGAUCGCCCACGCAGAUUUCCAUGUCAGCGGCGAGGCGAGAUACAAGAUCAGCUAAAACUUCAAUUAUUUAUAAUUUUGCAAACAAUGAAAAUGUUUUUUUCUUAUCUUUAAACAUUGUCCUGAAUAUAUAUAAUACCAAUUUGA